rnacentral:rRNA from 1 species
UACGUAGGUGGCAAGCGUUGUCCGGAUUUACUGGCGUAAAGGGCGCGCAGGCGGCUACGCACGUCCGUUGUGAAAUCGCUCGGCUCAACUGGGCGGGGUCAGCGGAUACGGCGUAGCUGGAGCAAGCUAGGGGGCAAUGGAAUUCCCGGUGUAGUGGUGGAAUGCGUAGAUAUCGGGAGGAACACCAGUGGCGAAGGCGGCUUUCUGGACAGUUACCGACGCUGAGGCACGAAAGCUAGGGGAGCAAACAGG